rnacentral:tRNA from 1 species
GCCUUUGUGGUGUAACGGUAGCACAUUCGGUGCGUAUUCGAGAGAUCCAGGUUCGAGUCCCUGCAAGGGCG